GAUGAACGCUGGCGGCGUGCCUAAUACAUGCAAGUCGAGCGAACGGACGAGAAGCUUGCUUCUCUGAUGUUAGCGGCGGACGGGUGAGUAACACGUGGAUAACCUACCUAUAAGACUGGGAUAACUUCGGGAAACCGGAGCUAAUACCGGCUAAUAUUUUGAACGGCUGGGUGCAAAAGUUAAUCACGGCUUUCCCGUUACUAUUAGACGGUUCCGCGCUGCAUUAGCUAGUUGGUAAGGUAACGGCUUACCAAGGCAACGAUGCAUAGCCGACCUGAGAGGGUGAUCGGCCACACUGGAACUGAGACACGGUCCAGACUCCUACGGGAGGCAGCAGUAGGGAAUCUUGCGCAAUGGGCGAAAGCCUGACGGAGCAACGCCGCGUGAGUGAUGAAGGUCUUCGGAUCGUAAAACUCUGUUAUUAGGGAAGAACAUAUGUGUAAGUAACUGUGCACAUCUUGACGGUACCUAAUCAGAAAGCCACGGCUAACUACGUG
rnacentral:rRNA from 1 species